rnacentral:rRNA from 1 species
UACGGAGGGGGCUAGCGUUGUUCGGAAUUACUGGGCGUAAAGCGCGCGUAGGCGGCUUUGUAAGUUAGAGGUGAAAGCCCGGAGCUCAACUCCGGAACUGCCUUUAAGACUGCAUCGCUAGAAUUGUGGAGAGGUGAGUGGAAUUCCGAGUGUAGAGGUGAAAUUCGUAGAUAUCGGGAGGAACACCAGUGGCGAAGGCGACUACCUGGCCUGUUCUUGACGCUGAGGCGCGAAAGCUAGGGGAGCAAACGGG